rnacentral:rRNA from 1 species
AACGAACGCUGGCGGCACGUUUUAAGCAUGCAAGUCGAAUGGCAGCAGGGGCAACUCUGUGAGAAUGGCGAACGGGUGAGUAACACGUAGGUGAUCUGCCUUGAGGAUGGGGAUAGCCUGUGGAAACACAGGGUAAUACCGAAUAAGCUGACGGGACUUUGGUUUUGUUAGUAAAGGUGCUACGGCACCGCCUUGAGAGGAGCCUGCGGCUGAUUAGCUAGUUGGUGGGGUAAAGGCCUACCAAGGCGACGAUCAGUAGCCGGCCUGAGAGGGUGGACGGCCACACUGGGACUGAGACACGGCCCAGACUCCUACGGGAAGCAGCAGCGAAGAAUCUUCCGCAAUGGGCGAAAGCCUGACGGAGCGAUGCCGCGUGAUCGAUGAAGGUCGAGAGAUUGUAAAGAUCUUUUCUACAUGAGGAAUAAGUCUGGGAGGGAAUGCCUGGAUGAUGACGUUAGUGUAGGAAUAAGCCCCGGCUAAUUACGUGCCAGCCGCCGCAGUAA